AACGUAGGAGACAAACGUUAUCCGGAGUUACUGGGCGUAAAGGGCGUGUAGGUGGUUUCGUAAGUCUGGCGUGAAAUUUCUCGGCUUAACCGAGGCAGGUCGUCGGAUACUGCGGAACUUGAGGACGGUAGAGGCGUGUGGAAUUCCGGGUGUAGUGGUGAAAUGCGUAGAGAUCCGGAGGAACACCAGUGGCGAAGGCGACACGCUGGGCCGUACCUGACACUGAUGCGCGACAGCAUGGGGAGCAAACGGG
rnacentral:rRNA from 1 species